rnacentral:tRNA from 1 species
GGAGAGAUGGCCGAGUGGUUUAAGGCAGCAGUCUUGAAAACUGCCGUAGGUGUGAGCCUACCGUGGGUUCGACAAGGCGGCGAAGCCGCCGCAGGACGCCCGAAGUGCGGUCCCGACCAACGGGAGGGAUUCGUCGCGAAGCGGCGAACAAUCCCACUCGGCGUCCG